CCUACGGGCGGCAGCAGUGGGGAAUAUUGCACAAUGGGCGCAAGCCUGAUGCAGCCAUGCCGCGUGUGUGAAGAAGGCCUUCGGGUUGUAAAGCACUUUCAGCGGGGAGGAAGGCGGUGAGGUUAAUAACCUCAUCGAUUGACGUUACCCGCAGAAGAAGCACCGGCUAACUCCGUGCCAGCAGCCGCGGUAAUACGGAGGGUGCAAGCGUUAAUCGGAAUUACUGGGCGUAAAGCGCACGCAGGCGGUCUGUCAAGUCGGAUAUGAAAUCCCCGGGCUCAACCUGGGAACUGCAUUCGAAACUGGCAGGCUAGAGUCUUGUAGAGGGGGGUAGAAUUCCAGGUGUAGCGGUGAAAUGCGUAGAGAUCUGGAGGAAUACCGGUGGCGAAGGCGGCCCCCUGGACAAAGACUGACGCUCAGGUGCGAAAGCGUGGGGAGCAAACAGGAUUAGAUACCCCAGUAGUC
rnacentral:rRNA from 1 species